CAAGGUUUUAAGAAGGAAGGGAGUGGAAAAAUGGAGGCAGAAGCAUAGGUUGCUCUAUGAAGAAGUAGAGCAGCAAAAAAAGAGGAAAAAUAUUGAGGGGAAUAGCUUGAGGUUCAGGAUGUUAAUGGAUGUGGUAGCUGGGUAGAGGGUUGAAUAGAUAAAAUGUUUAUCAAAUAUUUUUCAUGUGGCAAAGACCAUACCAAGUGCUGAAACUAUAGAAACAAACUAAAAAGAUAAGCACUAUUAGGUAAAGGCAUUAUUGAGUCAGAUGACUGUUAAAUUUUUGGUGUGAUCAUUUAUAUUUCAGAAAUCAGCAAACACUACAAAUCAGGGAUGGAUGUACUAUUUUGUUGAUUGUCUAGAGUUAAGAAAGUGAUGGAGGAAAUAGUAAUAAUGCAGAUUAAAUUUUAAAUGUCUUGCUUUUUUCAGUGACUUAAUUGUUAAAUAUUUACCAGCACACCAUUGGAUCGUGCCCUAUAGGGUCUUAUUUGAGUUAGAAGCAUAAAUUGUAAUGAAGUGAGCAUGGAUAGUGAUCUGAGACUCACUACUCAGAGAAGAGGACACAGGGCUAGAAGCAUUUCCAGGCAACUGGGAAGAAGGUGGCAGCCUAAAGAGUCAGUAGUGGAGCUGGAAGGGAAAUGAGCAUAGAUCAAUUAGGCAGCUCAUGCAAUCUAGGCCAGAGACUGACAAAGGGAAAAGAUUUUUUUUUGAAAGGGGAAAGGACAGGGCAAACAGGUCUGCAUCUAGGUAGAGGAAAGAACUGAGAGAUGUCAAGAGACUGAAGGAGUUGGAGAGAGAAUUCUAACCUCUAAUUCCCAAAAUACAGUUUUGGGGGUGAAAGGAAUCUUGUUCAUUCAGGGAAAUUCUCUGGAUCACAUUUCCCAGGAUGGUAAGAGUUCCCUGUAUGGUAUCAUUAUUUGCCCUAGAUUCUGGCUGGAUGAUUAAGUUUUUCAGUAGGAGUGAGCAGAAGAGGGAGAGGGAGCCUAGUACCUUUAUUUGCUUAUUAUGCCUAUUGGGAGAAGGGGGAAACUUGAUCAUGUUUUGUAGGUGAGUAUAAUGAUACAGAGUGUGGUUACUAUUAGAAUGCUUUUUAUUGAAUUGAAUUAGAUAUAUUGUAUUUGCAUUAGUUUUACUAAAGGUGUCUUCAGAACCAAAGCUUCAUUAGUCCUAACAACUUGCUACUGAUGCUAUUAUAUUGACUGUUUAAGAAGCUAAACUCCAGGAGUAAUCUGAAUCUUUCUUGGAUCUUUUGCCAAACCACAAGUGGAGCUAAGAACAGAAGAUGUCUAUAACAUCCUUGAAGCUAUUUCUCAGCUUUUUUCUUUGUUUCCUCCCUUUGUCACUCUUCAGCCAUCUUAUUAGUUUUGUAAUACUAGAUGGCUAGAAAUACAAAUGUAUUAUAAUUGGUCACAUUUUUUUUUUGAGAUCAAAAGUGGGAGGAAUAUACCUAAAUAAGUGGUUGACCAGCUUCCUUUCCAGGAACAAUUUCUUUAAUCAGUUCAAUUCCUGAUUUUUGUUACUAAUUCAUUACAGUAAAACACUCCAUUUAAAAGGUCAGGGAUUUAAUAAGAGGUGGGAAGAUACAUAUGAUCUAACUAUUGACAGAAUAGAGUAUUGAUUCAUGUAGAAGCAGUGCGCUAAAUUUUAAAUAGCAAACUAGAGAGGAGUUUUGUUUUUUUCUUUUCUGGGAGUAUUCUCUGAGAGAGAGUGUGUGUGUAUUCAGCUGUGGUUUGGUCAAGAAAAUCUAAGGCAGCAGUUUUACUUUCCCAUUCUGUUUAAAGCAGGCAAUGGAUGGUUGAUAUGAGGUCACAGAGACCCUGUUGGGUUUGCAAUAGCAAUCUGGUCAUAUCUCUUUGUUUAGGGAUAUAGCUGGAUGCAGGGUCAUGCUCUUGCCUUUCUAUUCCAAUAAUGUAAUAGUCAUGCUUGGCAGAUUAAAUGGCACUUAGCAUUUGGCAGAUUUGGAUUUCCCCUGUAGAUAUUUCUCCUUUCAAUAUUUUAAAGCUUUAGAAGUAUAACCAUUGCCCUGAGGCAGUAAAGGCAGUAUGAUUUGGACUAGUAGCUCUACAAAUGCUUAUGGUAGAUAGCAGUUGGAAAAAGUGAAGGACUUUUGCUUGUAAAAACAUUUACUGUCUCCUAGCAAUCUGCAGCGAUGCUAUGUAUGCCAGACGAUAGAUAAACAGUUUCUAAAGUCAUAAACUUUUACAGCAAUAUGGACCAAAGGAGGAAUUCUUCAGAAACCCCUCAGGAACCACUGCUUUGGGGAAAAAUACAUACAAACAUACAUAUACACGUAGUAUAUAUUUAGUACAUAUAUAUGUAUAAGCAUGUUAUACCACAUAUAUAUUAGGAAUAAUAUAUAUGAGAUAGAAUCUACAUUCUCUAUGUUUUAAGGAAUUGACUUAUGUGUAAGAUAAUUUUAUAAAAUUUCAGAUAUGCAUGAUACCAUAAGGAUUGUUUAGUCAAACAACCUCAUUUUAUAGAUGAGGAAGCUGAGGUCAAAAAAAGUUAAAAAUUUUGUGGAAGGCCAAUGAUUAGUGACAGGAUUUGGAAUAAAAAGCAGACCUGACUCCCA
ensembl:lncRNA